rnacentral:rRNA from 1 species
GAUGAACGUUGGCGGUGUGCCUAAUACAUGCAAGUCGAACGGAGACUGUAGCAAUACUGUCUUAGUGGCGAACGGGUGAGUAACGCGUUGGUGAUCUGCCUCGAAGUGUGGAAUAACCUCCCGAAAGGGAAGCUAAUACCGCAUAGUCUCUCAAGGUUUAGAAAAUUGAGAGUAAAGGAUUUAUUCGCUUCGAGAGGAGCCUGCGUCCCAUCAGCUAGUUGGUAGGGUAACGGCCUACCAAGGCAAUGACGGGUAGGGACCUGAGAGGGUGCCCCCCAAAUGGAACUGAAACACGGUCCAUACACCUACGGGUGGCAGCAGUAGGGAAUAUUAGAAAUGGGCGGAAGCCUGAUCUAGCAACACCGCGUGUGCGAUGAAGGCCUUGGGUCGUAAAGCACUUUUUGGAGGGAUGAGGAAGGACAGUACCUCCAGAAUAAGCCUCGGCUAACUACGUG